rnacentral:lncRNA from 1 species
GCUUGACUUCCAGCACUGGGGGCUGCCUCCCUUGUUGAUCUACUGAGGAACCAAAUUUGAGAAUCUCCUGGUAGUGCAAUCCGCAGAGAGGAUUUGGAAGAGGCUGGGCAGGCAACAGCCGUAAAUGGAGGCCACGCAUUCAGAACUCCCACUGGUCUCUGGUCCUGGGCCAGGUUUAAGACCAGACUCCCACCCUAACAAGCAGCAGUGGAGGUCUUUGGAGACAGCCCUGGAUUCCAAGCCACUUCCAAGCCCUCCCAACCUCAGUUUCGUCAUCUGUGAAAUGGGGCAAUGUCCUCCCUCUGCAGAGCUGUCAUGCUGGUCAGAGAGGAGGCACAGAGUAGGUGUUCAAUAAGGGACCACAGACACACUUACCUUAAAGCAAUCGUGACCUUGGCCCAUGUUGGUGUUCUGUGAGGCUGUGGGCAGGAGAACCCCACAGCCCUUCUGUGAGGGCCAAGCCAACUUCAUACUCGUAGGGGCUGCAUUUCUCUUUUCACCAGGGAAGCUGGCUCCUGUACCCGUCUCCUCACUCCUGGGCCCCUUUUCCUUCUUUUACACAGAGGCCAUAGCUACCCUUUUCCCUGUGUGUGUGUGUGUGUGUGUGUGUGUGUGUGUGUGUGUGUAUGUGUGUGGUGCUGAGGAUGGAAGGCAGGGCCUUGCACAUGCUAGGCAAGCAUCUACCACUAAGCUACCUACCCAAUGCUUUUUAUUUUAUUUGCUACAGAAUCUUGUCCAGCCUGGUCCCAAACUUGUCAUCCUCCUGCCUCAGUCUGCAAAGUAGCUGCUAAGGUUACAGGCAUGCACCACCAGGCCUG